UACAGAAUGUACAAGAAAAACUGUCUCCAUGGUAGGAAUUUUUGUUCUAAUCAGUCCAUGGAAAGAAAAAGCUAUUAUUGAACUUCCCAGGAUAUCUCCCAGGCUGAGAAGUCUACACAAUAUUCACUGCCCUGCCCUGCGCAGAGCAGGAAGAGUGCAGGGAGGAUUCGUGAGAUGCCAGUUCUGAUAACUUUCAGAUGUGGAG
rnacentral:lncRNA from 1 species